rnacentral:rRNA from 1 species
GACGAACCGUGCGAACGUUGUUCGGAAUCACUGGGCUUAAAGGGCGCGUAGGCGGACAAGCAAGUCCGGGGUGAAAUCUUUCGGCUCAACCGGAAAAGUGCCUUGGAUACUGCUUGUCUGGAGUGAGGUAGGGGCCGCGGGAACUUCCGGUGGAGCGGUGAAAUGCGUUGAUAUCGGAAGGAACGCCGGUGGCGAAAGCGCGCGGCUGGCCCUCAACUGACGCUGAGGCGCGAAAGCCAGGGGAGCAAACGGG